ACCAAACUAUUCUCCAUAAUGGUCAGUUUGCAAGGACUUGAACCAAACUAUCUUCUCCAUAAUGGUCAGUUUGUAAGGACUUGAACCAAACUAUCUUCUCUAUAAUGGUCAGUUUGUAAGGACUUGAACCAAACUAUCUUCUCCAUAAUGGUCAGUUUGUAAGGACUUGAACCAAACUAUCUUCUCUAUAAUGGUCAGUUUGCAAGGACUUGAACCAAACUAUCUUCUCUAUAAUGGUCAGUUUGUAAGGACUUGAACCAAACUAUCAUCUCUAUAAUGGUCAGUUUGUAAGGACUUGAACCAAACUAUCUUCUCCAUAAUGGUCAGUUUGCAAGGACUUGAACCAAACUAUCUUCUCUAUAAUGGUCAGUUUGUAAGGCCUUGAACCAAACUAUCUUCCCCAUAAUGGUCAGUUUGCAAGGACUUGAACCAAACUAUCUUCUCUAUAAUGGUCAGUUUGUAAGGCCUUGAACCAAACUAUCUUCUCUAUAAUGGUCAGUUUGUAAGGACUUGAACCAAACUAUAUUCUCCAUAAUGGUCAGUUUGUAAGGCCUUGAACCAAACUAUAUUCUCCAUAAUGGUCAGUUUGUAAGGACUCGCACCAAACUAUCUUCUCCAUAAUGGUCAGUUUGUAAGGACUUGAACCAAACUAUCUUCUCCAUAAUGGUCAGUUUGUAAGGCCUUGAACCAAACUAUAUUCUCCAUAAUGUUUGUAAGCACUCGCACCAAAACUAUCUUCUCCAUAAUAGUUUUUAAGCAUCCAAGUUAACUACCCUCAUCAUAAUGGUCAGUUCUGUUAUUCAGCUCCUGAUACUAAUGAGAUUUCCUAUAUAGUUUCCCUCAAUUUUGUUUUUCUUUUUAAAUUACACCAAGGACCACAUUAAGGAUUUUCGUAUCACCUCUCUAUAUUGGUCUCUUCUUUUACUCAGCUCCUGAUACUAAAGAGAUUUCCUAUAUAGUUUCCUUCAAGUUUGUUUUUCUUUUUAAAUCACACCAAGGACCACAUUAAGGAUUUUCGUAUCACCUCUCCAUAUUACUUCAUUACUUUCUCUAUAUUGGUCUGUUCUUCUACUCAGCUCCUGAUACUAAAGAGAUUUCCUAUAUAGUUUCCCUCAAUUCUGUUUUUCUUUUUAUAUCACACCAAGCAACACAAUAAGGAUUUUCAUAUUAUUUCGUGCUUGGUUUGGGAGCGUACAAACAAACCCGUUAAGUUGGACUGUGGAACUGCCCCAAAGUUUAUGUCUACGGUAAUGGUAAUGAUAACAAGUAAAAGGUUGGGUUUGCCCCCUUCCCAAAUUUCUCACUUACUUUGAUCUUCUUAUUUGCCAUCAAAAUCUGCAGUAAAAUCAUCACGUAACAUCUCUCAUAAUCAAAACAACAUCAAUGCCUCAGUUUAUAUGCGGAAAGACGUAAGCAAAGUAGUGAUUCGGAAACGGUGCCACUAAAUCAACAGAAGCAAUAGUAUUUAAACAAUCAGUGAACAUUGGCUGUGAUUGACUCAUUAAUUACUAAGAAACUAUGGUGUGUGUGUGUGUGUGUGUGUGUGUGUGUGUGUGUGUGUGUGUGUGUGUGUGUGUAUCCUGGCAAUAGUAUGGAAAUGGCUGAUAAUAGUAGUAGUAGUAGUAGCAGUAGUAGUAGUAGUAGUAGUAGUAGUAGUAGUAGUAGUAUCAUCUAUCAGGGACUCAUGCACGGUUUUAAUCUUUUAUAUUUUUUUUUCUUUCGUAGUCUCGGCCAUCCUAGAUUUUGAGGUUUCUGAAAGUUUUUUUUUAUCUACUUUCAUACGUUGUGUCUCGUUCCUUUCUUUCCUUUUUCACAUAACGUUCUACUGUUCUCCAUUUCCAUUACUAUUCUUAUUCCUUUUCUCCUCAUUUUAAUCAUUUUGUACACUUCUCCAUUACAAGCACCCGCAGUGAUUUUCUAGUAUAUUCAAGAGCCUAUAUUUUUGUUCUCUUCUUCAUUUUAUUUCCAUUACUCAAUCAUUUUCCACUUCUAUCUUUUUAUUCUUACUCUCAAUACUAUUAGACUUAUUGGCUAAUACGUUUAUUGUAUUACAAGUAUAAUGAUUUUUCUGUAUAUUUUUGAAGCAUUUAUCUUUGUCCCUUUCUUUCUAUUUCUUUCAUUAUUCUCCACAGUUAUUGUAUUUCUGAUAGGUACAAUGAUUUCUCCGUAUGUAUAUAAUUUUUGUAGAUUUACAGAAAGUGGUGCUAUUAUGUGAAAGGGAAUUCAAUGAAAACUUAAACUAUAAUAUUAUGUAUAUAAAGAAAUCAAGAAUCA